rnacentral:other from 1 species
CGCUGCCUGCGGUGUUCGAGUUGGUUCUGUAAUCCUUAGAACCUAGAUUUUCGACCGAGGGCCAAGUUGCAGGCGCUGUUGUGCAUGUCCACCGCUUAAUUGUGAGUGGAAAGCCUGAUGCGCUCGCCGUGGCUCCCACUUGGACCGACUUGGUUCAAGGCGAAGAAUCAAUACGGCACAGGUGGGUGGCGC